UGUCAUCUCGCUCGGCUUCGACAUGAUGACCCGCUCCAGCCGUGUCGCCCGGGCCGAGCGUCGCGGCGGAUGGCGG
rnacentral:tRNA from 1 species